UUGCUGGUUUAGCAUUUGGCAAGCGCUUGAUAUCUGCUGGAAGGAGGUUCCAAUCAAUGGGACAGUAUGGUCAAGGUGAACUACAAAAGAUUGCAAAGACGAUGAUUGCAACUGGAAAGCUUCUCUCCGCAAGUUCAAUGUCAACAGCUGAUGAGCAACCAAAGAAGGAAACUAGAAUGUUCAAGUUUGGAGAACUUCAGGUUGAAGUAACACCAGAAAAAGCUAACAUUGGUGCAGCGCUUGCAUUUUUUUUUGGGAUUCUUUCAUGGCAGCUAGGUCAAGGCAUCCAGAGCAUUCCUGAGAGCUCAUUGCAGUAUGCAAAUGACAAUGCUUUGUUACUGGCAAAGUCUCUGAGGGUAGCUCUACUUGCAAUGUGCUAUUCAUCCACUGUCUUGUCAGCUUUCACUACUGUUGGGCUUUUCUUAUAUGCGAGACAACUUGCGUCAAAGGAAAAGUGACAAUUUUUGGUGUUAUCUUGCCUGAGUUUUGCUGUAAAUCUGAGAUACUCUUCCAUAUACACAAGUUAAUUCUAUUAUUUCACUAGCAAUGCUGGGUGGAUUUGGAAUCAAUGUCACAGUCUGAUGGCUGAAGCAUUAAUUAAUUCGUGUUCUAUCUCAUUUCUCAUGGAAACAUAUUUAGAUACCUUGUUCCGGUUGUAAGACAUUUCUAUACAGCAAUAAACCUCAGUUGUAACAUGCCAAGAAUCUGAGUUAAGUUACACUUUCUGCUGGUGGGUGUCAUCUUUAUUCCUUGAGAAUAUAAAAUGGGGAAGGCAGACAACUGAGCCUUCAAAACUUUGGUGAUAUUGAUAUUGCAUCAGUUUGUAUUCUGAUCAUUAGAUGCUUGUGCAUUUUAAUACUGACAAAUAGAGUAUCAAAGGAGAUAAAGCUAAGGGCAGAAUUAAUAAGCAUCUUGAUACAAGUACAUUUCAAGGAGUCUUCAUACCCCAAGUCGGCUUCUUCUAAGACCAGCUUUCCAGAUUCUUCUUUUAGCUUGAGCUUGUCUUAGACUUUUAAGGAUGCCUCCUUUGUACAUCUUGUUCGCACCUUAUGUUUUUACAGUCAUGAACUUAGAACACCAAUGGCUGCUGGUAUGGGCUGCUGGACAUCUUCAUUGCUGAUCUAAGCGUCACAAGUGGUGAGCACUUGGCAACACUGUCCCAGAUUAGAAAACGCUUUGUGGCUUUUGUUAGGCUUCUUUGGAUCCUUGCAAGGUUGAAACUGGGAAAGCGAUGUGGCAAGACGUUUGGAAGGCUGGUUUUAAAAGAUGCUGAUAUAGGCUAUAAAGGACUUGAAAUGUACUCCAUCAAAUGACUAUUAAUUUGGCUCUCAGUUUCAUCCCAUUUGAUUCUCCUUUUAUGAGUAUUAGAAUUUCAUCCCCUAUGAUACUCCUAUGAGUAUUAGAAUGCACAAACAUUCAGUGAGAAUACAUAUUGAUACAAUACCAAUAUAAUCAAAGUUUUGAAAGCUCAUUUGUUUUUCUUCACUGUUAUACAUACUCUUGGAAUAAGAUAUUAUGCUUAGAAAUACUCUGUUGGUACUACACCCUGAAGAAUGUAGAUGGCAGUUGCAUUGUUAAAAAACAAAACCAUGACAUUUUUGGAAAUACCGUAUUGGCAUUGGUAGCCAGCCAGCCAGCCACCAAGAAACUGGUGGACACAGUACUACUGAUCACUUCUUCACAUAAGAGAAAAAAAAUUCAGGCAUGCCAUAAAGAUACGAUUGUAGUGCAGGUUGAUGUUAGUUGACCAACUGUGAUGACAAAGUAGUGAAAACUGCAGCUGACUUGGUUUUGCAUCAAUGUUUUGGACUUGGUGAAUCUUUGCCAUAUAAAAUUAAGAUUCCUUCAACUGGAGGUGAGGGAUUAUUAUGUAUGACAUUGAUUCAACACUGCUCUUAGAAUUUGAUGUGGCAUAACUAUGAAAUUUUAGGUAAUAGCUUUUGUUUAUUAUCUGUGGACUCCUCCCUUUUUGCUGUUGUAAUUAUCUUAACUAAACACGCUGUGCAGUGGCUUGCCCGUUCAUGAAUUCUUUAUCAUUUAUAUCAGAUUCUUCAGCUUAUGAAAAGGUCAUUCUAGUGAGGGAAUAGGCCAAAGAUGCUUUAUUUUAUUCUUCUAAUUAGCAUAAUUAUGAUUAAGACUUUGCUUAAUUAAUUAAGUUUAUGGUUGUCAUUUCGAUAUUGUAUACGUAAUUCUUCUGUGAAAAAAUAUAUUUUUUUCUGUCGGAAGUGACCAGAACCAAUUUGAGAGAUCAUGUUCUUAGCUUGUGUAUGGCUUUUGGACUUAAUUAAUCACCAUAGCUUGAAUCUUUCAUUUUCAGUAUCAUAUAUUUAAUAUAUGCUUCUCAUCAGCAUCAGACAGAAAAAUUGGUUGCUUGUGGUUCAUGCUAAGGGUGACUUUCGAGCCCCGUAAUUGCUUUGUAAGCCUGAGUUUGAAAGUAGAGCCUCCAUUGAACCCUGCAAUCUUUGGAAAACAGGAAACAGUAUCCUUUGACCAUGUAAGUGUCCAUAAGGGAACUCGAAUCUCAAACCUUCUGGAAGUAAACCACAGGCAUGAUCAUUCGGUUAAAUCUUUAUGCUGUUUUGAAUGAUGAAAAUGAACUUUAGGAUACACUUCGACUGCCAAUUUUUUUAUGAUUGACAUAAUUUCAAUACAAAAUUAUGCUAAUUGCAACAUGUUCAAAGUUCUAACCUGCUGUGCAUGGGCAGACCUGAGAUAACCAUUUUUUUUUUUUUUUUUUUUUUGGUUUUUUAGUAUUUUAUUUCCCUUCAGAGUAGUUAAUAGUUGGAAGCAAGAAUGCUAGUUUCUUUCAUCUUUGGGGACAGUGACAUUGUAAUUGACCUUGUAUAAUCUAA